GACGAACCGUGCGAACGUUAUUCGGAAUCACUGGGCUUAAAGCGCGUGUAGGCGGGCCGGCACGUCUGGUGCUGAAAUCCCCCGGCUCAACCGGGGAAGUGGCACGGAUACGACCGGCCUGGAGGGGGUAGGGGCGCCGGAACUUCCGGUGGGAGCGGUGAAAUGCGUUGAGAUCGGAAGGAACGCCCGUGGCGAAAGCGGGCGCCUGGACCCCACCUGACGCGUGAGACGCGAAAGCCAGGGGAGCGAACGGG
rnacentral:rRNA from 1 species